CCUACGGGAGGCAGCAGUGAAGAAUAUUGGUCAAUGGACGAGAGUCUGAACCAGCCAAGUAGCGUGAAGGAUGACUGCCCUACGGGUUGUAAACUUCUUUUAUACAGGAAUAAAACGAGGCACGUGUGCCUUUUUGUAUGUACUUUAUGAAUAAGGAUCGGCUAACUCCGUGCCAGCAGCCGCGGUAAUACGGAGGAUCCGAGCGUUAUCCGGAUUUAUUGGGUUUAAAGGGAGCGUAGAUGGGUUGUUAAGUCAGUUGUGAAAGUUUGCGGCUCAACCGUAGAAUUGCAAUUGAUACUGGCAGUCUUGAGUACAGUUGAGGUAGGCGGAAUUCGUGGUGUAGCGGUGAAAUGCUUAGAUAUCACGAAGAACCCCGAUUGCGAAGGCAGCUUACUAAACUGUGACUGACAUUGAGGCUCGAAAGUGUGGGUAUCAAACAGGAUUAGAUACCCUGGUAGUC
rnacentral:rRNA from 1 species